GCCAGCCCGCUCAGAAACUUAAAGAAUUGACGGGGCCGCACAAGCGGAGGAACAUGUGGUUUAAUUCGAUGAUACGCGAGGAACCUUACCUGGGCUCAAAUGUAUGUUGACGUAUUCUGAAAGGGAUACUUCUUCGGACAAUAUACAAGGUGCUGCAUGGUUGUCGUCAGCUCGUGCCGUGAGGUGUCGGGUUAAGUCCCAUAACGAGCGCAACCCCUACCUUUAGUUGCCAUCAGGUUAAGCUGGGGACUCUAAAGGAACUGCCUACGCAAGUAGUGAGGAAGGCGGGGAUGACGUCAAAUCAGCACGGCCCUUACGUCCAGGGCUACACACGUGCUACAAUGGCCGAUACAGAGGGCAGCUACCUGGUGACAGGAUGCAAAUCUCCAAAGUCGGUCUCAGUUCGGAUCGGAGUCUGCAACCCGACUCCGUGAAGUUGGAUUCGCUAGUAAUCGCGCAUCAGCCAUGGCGCGGUGAAUACGUUCCCGGGCCUU
rnacentral:rRNA from 1 species